GAUGAAGAACGUAGCAAAAUGCGAUACUUGGUGUGAAUUGCAGAAUCCCGUGAACCAUCGAGUUUUUGAACGCAAGUUGCGCCCGAAGCCUUUUGGCCGAGGGCACGUCUGCCUGGGCGUCACGCAUCGCGUCGCCCCCCACAAUUCUCCGUAAAGGGAACGUGUGUUUUGGGGGCGGAUAUUGGUCUCCCGUGCUCAUGGCGUGGUUGGCCGAAAUAGGAGUCCUUUCGAUGGACGCACGAACUAGUGGUGGUCGUAAAAUCCCUCGUCUUUUGUUUCGUGCUGUUGCUCGCAAGGUAAACUCUUUAAAAACCCCAAUGUGUCGUCUCUUUACGACGCUUCGACCGCGACCCCAGGUCAGGCGGGACUACCCGCUGAGUUUAAGCAUAUCAAUAAGCGGAGGA
rnacentral:misc_RNA from 1 species